rnacentral:rRNA from 1 species
AUUGAACGCUGGCGGCAGGCCUAACACAUGCAAGUCGAACGAGUGGCGGACGGGUGAGUAAUGUCUGGGAAACUGCCUGAUGGAGGGGGAUAACUACUGGAAACGGUAGCUAAUAACGCAUACCAUCGGAUGUGCCCCGAUGGGAUUAGCUAGUAGGUGGGGUAACGGGUCACCUAGGCGACGAUCCCUAGCGGGUUUGAGAGGAUGACCAGCAACACUGGAACUGAGACACGGUCCAGAGUCCGAGGGGAGGCAGCAGUGGGGAAUAGUGCACAAUGGGCGCAAGCCGGAUGCAGCCAUGCCGCGUGUAGGAAGAAGGCCUUCGGGUUGUAAAGUACUUUCAGCGGGGAGGCGUUACCCGCAGAAGAAGCACCGGCUAACUCCGUGCCAGCAGCCGCGGUAAUUC